GGAAAGGACAAUAAGAGACAGAGGAGCUGAGGAAGAUGAACAAGAGACACACAGCUAGGCUAAGGAAAGAGACGAGCUGUGUGGAAAGAGACACACAGAUGUUCUGGGGCCUGGGAAAGACUCACAGAAGGGCUGGGGAAGGGGAGAAAGAGACAAAGGGGCUGAGGCUAAGAAAGGGCGUGGGGGAGAAAGACACAAACAAAAUGCAUCUUCACUUGCGUCUCCGGCUCUCCGUUACUCAGUCGACCGGUGAGAGAAAGACAUUGUAUUAAAGGGACACUAUAGUCAC